rnacentral:rRNA from 1 species
CCUACGGGAGGCAGCAGUGGGGAAUAUUGGACAAUGGGGGAAACCCUGAUCCAGCGACGCCGCGUGAGUGAAGAAGUAUUUCGGUACGUAAAGCUUUAUCAGCAGGAAAGAAAAUGACGGUACCUGACUAAGAAGCGCCGGUUAACUACGUGCCAGCAGCCGCGGUAAGAGGGAGGGGGCAAGCGGUAACCGGAUUUACUGGGGGUAAAGGGAGCGUUGACGGGAGCGCAAGUCUGGAGGGAAAGGUCGGGGCCCAACCCCGGAACUGCUCUGGAAACUGGGAUGCUGGAGUGCAGGAGAGGUAUGCGGAAUGCCUGGUGUAGCGGUGAAAUGCGUAGAUAUCAGGAGGAACACCGGCGGCGAAGGCGGCUUACUGGCCUGUAACUGACGUUGAGGCUCGAAGGCGUGGGGAGCAAACAGGAUUAGAUACCCGAGUAGUC